rnacentral:tRNA from 1 species
ACGCUAUUAGUAUAGUAAUAUAUUUGACUUCCAAUCAAAAGACCUUGGCUUAUAUCCAAGAUAACGUA